GGUUUUGUAGCUCAGCUGAUAGAGCGCUUGCCGCGUUGAGGCAUGCUGUAUUUGUCGCUGGUUCGAAUCUAGCUGAAGCCC
rnacentral:tRNA from 1 species